rnacentral:rRNA from 1 species
CACUCCUGCGGGAGGCAGCAGUGAGGAAUAUUGGACAAUGGGUGGAAGCCUGAUCCAGCCAUCCCGCGUGCAGGAAGACGGCCCUAUGGGUUGUAAACUGCUUUUAUCUGGGGAUAAACCUACUUACGUGUAAGUAGCUGAAGGUACCAGAAGAAUAAGCACCGGCUAACUCCGUGCCAGCAGCCGCGGUACUACGGAGGGUGCAAGCGUUAUCCGGAUUUAUUGGGUUUAAAGGGUCCGUAGGCGGACUGAUAAGUCAGUGGUGAAAUCCGACAGCUUAACUGUCGAACUGCCAUUGAUACUGUUAGUCUUGAGUAAGGUUGAAGUGGCUGGAAUAAGUAGUGUAGCGGUGAAAUGCAUAGAUAUUACUUAGAACACCAAUUGCGAAGGCAGGUCACUAAGUCUUAACUGACGCUGAUGGACGAAAGCGUGGGGAGCGAACAGGAUUAGAUACCCUAGUAGUCCCAU